CGGUGGUUGGAUCCCUGCUAGGGCAGCGACAAUGUACCUUGCUCGCCACUUCAAUCGUUGGCAUAGGCGCACUGAGCCUUUGUAGGAUGAUGUUUUCCUGUGUUAUAUUCCAUUGAAAAGGGGCAUUGAAUUUGUUCAAUUGCAUCAGUUCGCUUCUCGUUGUGUCCCCUCGGAUUUUGGCAUGCAGUGAACUUUAAAGCUUUUAUCGUGUUCCACUUUCCUUGCAUGCAUGUGCAUGGUUGGUGGGCCACGGUCCUUGCUCGAUCUCUCGGUUGCGGAAUACCUUGUGGGCACGAGGCCACUGGUCCUCUAUUCGGCCCUUAUCGAGCGUUUAACGCUAUGUUCAAACGACAGUUGUGGUCGUCUUGACUAGGUCUUUUACGACUUGGCCAUGCGGUCCCAACGUCGAUGAGGAAUG
rnacentral:misc_RNA from 1 species